rnacentral:rRNA from 1 species
AUUGAACGCUGGCGGCAUGCCUUACACAUGCAAGUCGAACGGUAACAGGUCUUCGGAUGCUGACGAGUGGCGAACGGGUGAGUAAUACAUCGGAACGUGCCCGAUCGUGGGGGAUAACGAAGCGAAAGCUUUGCUAAUACCGCAUAAGAUCUACGGAUGAAAGCAGGGGACCGCAAGGCCUUGUGCGAACGGAGCGGCCGGUGGCAGAUUAGGUAGUUGGGGGGAAAAAAGCUUACCAAGCCGACGAUCUGUAGCUGGUCUGAGAGGGCGACCAGCCACACUGGGACUGAGACACGGCCCAGACUCCUACGGGAGGCAGCAGUGGGGAAUUUUGGACAAUGGGCGAAAGCCUGAUCCAGCCAUGCCGCGUGCAGGAUGAAGGCCUUCGGGUUGUAAACUGCUUUUGUACGGAACGAAAAGACUCUUUCUAAUAAAGAGGGUCCAUGACGGUACCGUAAGAAUAAGCACCGGCUAACUACGUGCCAGCAGCCGCCGUAAAAC